AGGGAGGUCAGGAAGUGGGUGUGGGUUUCCCUGGGUCAGGUUUCUCCAGCCUCAGUUCUUGUAGCUGAGAAAGGGGAUGGCAGCUGUUGGUUUAGGGGAAAUAGGUGUGGCAGGCUCUGCACCUCUCUGAGCCUUUGUCCUUUCCUGUAUGGCUGGUUUGGCUUCUGUGACUCCAGGCCUACGAAUGACCCCUUCUUUGUAAAUACACCGAAUCCUCAGGGGCUCACGUAGUUCAACAUUCUGGAUUUACAAGAGACCUACUGAGCUCUAAGAGCCGGCGGGGCCCCAAUUAGCUGUGGUGUUUCUAAAACGGUGCUCCUGAUGAGAGAGCACAGGCCAAAAGAGUUAAGGAUGAUGGGUGGACAUCUGGAAAGAUGCAGGCUGAGUUCUCACAGGGCAGCAGAUGUGGCCUAGAUGAGAAACGUUCUCCUUAAUCUCAGGCCUUUGCGGCCUAGGUUCCCCAGUUUGUGGUGCUCUUUGGGGAGUCUUAAGUGGUGCAAUCUUGCUGGAGGAGGUGGUCACGCGGGCAGGGGUCGGGAGGGGUGUGCUUUUUUUUUUUGUCAACUUGACACAAAUAUAGACAAGAUAGGAGCACAGAAUCUUAAUUGAGAAAAUGUUUCCAUAAGAAACAGCCGUCAGGCCUUUACCCAAUUAGAGAUUGAUGGGGAGAGUCCCACCCAUUGUGGGUGGGGCCAGCCCAUUGUGGGUGGAGCCAUCCGUGGCCAGGUGGUCCUAGGUUCUCUGAGAAAGCAAGCUGGGUAAGCCAUGGGUUGCAGGCCAGUAAGCGGCACCCCUCCGCCGCCUCUGCGUCAGUUCCUGCUUCCAGGUUCCUGUCCUGCUUGGGUUCCUGUAGCUGCGAAGAGCAGGGAUACAGAAGUGCUGUGGAACCAACAGUCUCGACUGCCUCACCCUGACUGACUUAACACUGGGUGUCUCUACGUCCUUGGACUGCAGUCUCCUCUCCGCAGGGAACAGAAGUGAACAUGCCACUCAGUCCAAAAUCUGCUGAGAAACUUUGGGGAGAAGUAAAGUCCUGGAUCCCAACUCUGCCCUAUUUUGCUGUGCGGCUCUGGCCAUACUGAUCAACCUCUCUGUUUUAGUCACCCAUUUGUAAACUGGUCAUCACAGCAUGCAUACCAUCGUGCCACUGGAGGGUUAAACGAGUUAAGCCUGGUAAAGAGCAUCAGGCACAUAGAUUGUUAAUGGUGUGGUUCCUAUCAGGAGAACCAGGGUUUAUUGUGUAGUAGAUGCUUAAUAAGUGACACAUAGAGACCAUCACCACCACCACCAUCAUCACUACCGUCCCAGUUUUCUUCUCUGCUGCUGUGAUAAAACACCAAGCAAAGGAACCGUCUCUUUGGCUCACACAUCCCAGUUCCGAGGGAGGUGAGGGCGGGCACUCAAGCAGGAGCAGAGGCCAGAACCGUGGAGGAAACUGUUUCCUGGCUUGCUCAGCUUGCUUUCCUAUACAACCCAAGAUCAUUUGCCCAAGGGUGGGUGGCACCACCCUCAGUGGGCUAGAGCCUCCCACCCAAUCAUUAAUAAAGAUAGCACCCCACACCCAUGUCUAUGUGCAAUCUGAUGGGGAUGUCCCUCAACUGAGAUCCCCUCCUCCCAGAUAUAUCUCGGCUUGCGUCCCGUUGACUGAACGAACAAACACAAUUGCAACCAUCACCUCCCAAUCCCCUCUAUCCUCAUCACCACUGCCUCGUCCUCACCAGCCCAGCCAUUGCCGUCAUCCUGGCAUCCCCUCGGGCAGUAGAGGGAUAAACAGUCAGUGUGGGCUCCCCUGGCAAAGGGGCAGAGAUGGGAAGGGAGACAGAUGAGAAGAGGAGAGAGAGACAGAGAGACAGAGGAAAGGAGGAGGAAGAGGAGGAAGAAGCAGCAGCAGCAGCAGUAGCUGCUGCUUCAGGAACGUCAACAGAACUCUGAAGCCAAAAAGGACCUUGAAGGCCAACCAACCAUCCACAGCUUCAUUUCCCACAUGGAGGAACUGAGGCCUGGACAGGGGAUCAGGGCUAUCCAGGAUCACACGAUGGGUCUGUGUUGGAGAAGAGGAGACCCUGGGCUCGCUCUCCACCCAACAUCUCUGCUUCUGCUAUCAGCAAAGAGUCGUCUCAGUGGUGAGGGACUGAGGGACAGACCCUGCUCUGCUGGGCUCCUUAAAACCUUCCUUCAGGCACCUCCCUCGUGUCUCAUACCCAGGAGCCCUCAGGCCAGGCGAGUUCAGCACAUCCC
rnacentral:lncRNA from 1 species